GUCAAUCUGACGAGUCCCACAUAGGACGAAACGCGCGUUCUGGAU
rfam:Schistosoma mansoni strain Puerto Rico chromosome W, complete genome